rnacentral:rRNA from 1 species
UACGUAGGGUGCAAGCGUUAAUCGGAAUUACUGGGCGUAAAGCGUGCGCAGGCGGCUUUGCAAGUCAGAUGUGAAAUCCCCGGGCUUAACCUGGGAACUGCAUUUGUGACUGCAUGGCUAGGGUGCGGCAGAGGGGGGUAGAAUUCCACGUGUAGCAGUGAAAUGCGUAGAGAUGUGGAGGAACACCGAUGGCGAAGGCAGCCCCCUGGGUCAAGAUUGACGCUCAUGCACGAAAGCGUGGGGAGCAAACAGG